rnacentral:rRNA from 1 species
GACGAACGCUGGCGGCGUGCUUAACACAUGCAAGUCGAACGGAAAGGCCUGCUUUCCCUUGUGGAUUGCGGGUACUCGAGUGGCGAACGGGUGAGUAACACGUGAGUGAUCUGCCCCCAACUUGGGCAUAAGCCUGGGAAACUGGGUCUAAUUCCCGAUAGGACUGCAGGGUGGUGCCUGUGGUGGAAAACGAUUUUCUAGUGGUUGGGGAUGAGCUCGCGGCCUAUCAGCUUGUUGGUGGGGUAAUGGCCUACCAAGGCGGCGACGGGUAGCCGGCCUGAGAGGGUGGACGGCCACAUUGGGACUGAGAUACGGCCCAGACUCCUACGGGAGGCAGCAGUGGGGAAUAUUGCACAAUGGGCGGAAGCCUGAUGCAGCGACGCCGCGUGGGGGAUGACGGCCUUCGGGUUGUAAACUCCUUUCGACCGCGAGGAAGCCACCUGGUUGGAAGGGUGGUGACGGUAGUGGUAGAAGAAGCACCGGCUAACUACGUG